GCUUAUACUCGACCGUCAGCGGCACGUGCGAUCGCGCGUUUCGGCGCGCGAUCACGAAGCCCUGACGAGUAGGAGGGUCGCGGCGGUGAGCGCAGAAGGGCUGGCCGCGAGGCCGUCUGGAGCCGCCGUCGGUGCAGAUCUUGGUGGUAGUAGCAAAUACUCCAGCGAGGCCCUGGAGGACUGACGUGGAGAAGGGUUUCGUGUGAACAGCCGUUGCACACGAGUCAGUCGAUCCUAAGCCCUAGGCGAAAGCCGAUGUCGAUGCGGUGUGGAUUUCUUUUUUACGAAGAGAGCGAGACAAAUGUUAAUUCGUUGUUUUUAACGUAUCGAGCCGAUCGUACACACCCAUCGGGCGAAAGGGAAUCCGGUUCCUAUUCCGGAACCUGGCAGCGGAACCGUCAAAAAGUCGGGC
rnacentral:rRNA from 1 species